rnacentral:rRNA from 1 species
AUGGUUUUCCCUUGUUUAUUACUUUUUUCCCGUUUCUUUAAUCCAACCGUGCUUGCCGGCUGCCAUUGCUGGCGAGCGGGUGACUUUUAAGAGAGUACCCUGCCCUUGACUCCGGGAUAAUCUUGGGAAACUGGGUCAAUUACUGGAUAUGACUUCUCACCGCAUGGUGGGGGGUGGAAAGAUUUAUCUGCUCUUGUAUCUAACAG